rnacentral:rRNA from 1 species
CAACCUACGGGAGGCAGCAGUGAGGAAUAUUGGUCAGUGGGCGGGAGCCUGAACCAGCCAAGUCGCGUGAGGGAAGACGGUCCUAUGGAUUGUAAACCUCUUUAGGCGGGGAGCAAUGCUGGGCACGCGUGCCCGGAGGGAGAGUACCCGCAGAAUAAGCAUCGGCUAACUACGUGCCAGCAGCCGCGGUAAUACGUAGGGGGCAAGCGUUAUCCGGAUUUACUGGGUGUAAAGGGAGCGUAGACGGCAGCGCAAGUCUGAAGCGAAAUGCCGGGGCUUAACCCCGGA